AAAACCUCACCAGAGAGCCGCCCCGGCCGUCACUCCCAUGGCGUUCUCUGCCGGUGCCUGCUCAGAUUUAUGGGGCAGUCGGGUGUCAAACUCUCGACCUGAAAGGGAUUUGGGCUUUCUUAGUGGUUAGGGAGGUGGUCAGGGGAGUAAUGGUGGACUCUCUCUAAGCACCUAAUACCCAGUACUGGGCCUCUAGUCUGGCACACCCACCUUAUCCUGGUCUCAUACACCUCGGACACUCUGGACAUUACCGACAACGGCCCGGUCUGGCUCCGAUAGCCGCAGUGUGGAUGGCAGCAACACCAAGUUGGAGUCCCCUUACCGACGCCCACACAUCCACAUGCCACGCUCCGCCGUGCAGACACCCAGGCACAGGACGAGCCAACGGAACAUCUGACCAUGAAGUUUGCCAGGCUGUGGAUUCUCCAGCCCUGCAAUCGCAGAAAAUCAUUCUCCAUCCACAUUAAAGCUCAGCCCUCUCCAUCACUGGUGCCCCUGACAACACAGGAAAUGGAUCCCACCCGACGGCAGACUCAGCCUCCACACUGUUUAUCACCACAAUUAUCCCCCAUUCAUUCACAGGCUUAUAAGGCAAUUAUCCUAAUCUACCUUCCUCCUCUGCUCCUGCUCUCCUCUCCAACGCAUCACACUGCUAUGGACCACCUCUGUGCCUUCAUUAUCAGCUUUGGGAGUGUCUAAUGGCUUGGCUCUCUCACGGCGCAGUCAGAUGGAGGAGAGAGAGAAUGCUGCUGAGGAAGAGAGACAGAGGGACCGGGGAGCAGGAGGGGGAGGAGAUACAAGCACUGUAGGGAGACAGCACUAAAAGUUAACAUCUCAAUCACUUGGGACAAUACUGCCAGAGUCUGUUAGCUUUAGCUUUUCAGACGUCACCCUGAAGACAAAUGGCAGUGGGACGAGGUUGUCUGUCACGUUGCAAUGUCAAAGAGGUAGUGAGGGAAGGACACUUUGGAGGAGGAGACAGAUUGUGUGGUGUGUGUGUGUGUGUGGGGUUCUUCGAUCCUCGUGGGGACCUAAAAUCCUCAAAAGUCCCCACAAGGAUAGUAAAACAAGGAAAAUUCUCCCUCCACAUUUCCCAUGUCCCCAUGAGGACAAAGGCUAUUUUAGCUUAGAGAUUAGAUUUAGGGUUAGGGUUACAAUUAGAGUUAGGGUUACAAUUAGAGUUAGGGUUACAAUUAGAGUAAGGGGUUAGUGGUUAAGUUUAGGGUUAGGGAAUAUAGGAUUUUUAGGUCCCCAUGAGGACAGAAGAACAAAAUGUGUGUGUGUGUGUGUGCGUGCGUGUGUGUGUGUUUGUGUGACGGGAUGGGAUGGGCCAGCCAUGGGGUGUGUUUAGGGCGACUGGUCAUGUUUUGAGACGGGACAGAGAGGCUGGUGCACCACAACAUACAACAGACUCCAACCUUGUCUCUUGGAAUCAGCAAGCCAUUUAACGUACAGACGGACUGGGGGUGGCAAUUCAGUUGCACUUUGGUUUUUUUUAGACAAAAUGACACCCUUGACGGUUGGAAAAAUGUUGGGGUCCCUGAACAGAUUUCUGCAAUACGAAAAUAAAAUGUGUGACAUCAAGACAGACAUUUUCAAACCUAAUUCUGAACCCCUAAAGAGAGCAGUGACAAAUGGAACCACACCCAC
rnacentral:lncRNA from 1 species